AGACCCGAAACCCGGUGAUCUAGCCAUGGGCAGGUUGAAGGUUGGGUAACACUAACUGGAGGACCGAACCGACUAAUGUUGAAAAAUUAGCGGAUGACCUGUGGCUGGGGGUGAAAGGCCAAUCAAACCGGGAGAUAGCUGGUUCUCCCCGAAAGCUAUUUAGGUAGCGCCUCGUGAAUUCAUCUCCGGGGGUAGAGCACUGUUUCGGCUAGGGGGCCAUCCCGGCUUACCAACCCGAUGCAAACUGCGAAUACCGGAGAAUGUUAUCACGGGAGACACACGGCGGGUGCUAACGUCCGUCGUGAAGAGGGAAACAACCCAGACCGCCAGCUAAGGUCCCAAAGUCAUGGUUAAGUGGGAAACGAUGUGGGAAGGCCCAGACAGCCAGGAUGUUGGCUUAGAAGCAGCCAUCAUUUAAAGAAAGCGUAAUAGCUCACUGGUCGAGUCGGCCUGCGCGGAAGAUGUAACGGGGCUAAACCAUGCACCGAAGCUGCGGCAGCGAACGUAUCACCCAAGACAACUUUACGGAGUUGACGAUUGACGGAGCGAAGCGACGUCAAAGCGUUCAUUAAAGUCGAGUUGGCUUAGGGAUACGUUCGUUGGGUAGGGGAGCGUUCUGUAAGCCUGUGAAGGUGUGUCGUGAGGCAUGCUGGAGGUAUCAGAAGUGCGAAUGCUGACAUAAGUAACGAUAAAGCGGGUGAAAAGCCCGCUCGCCGGAAGACCAAGGGUUCCUGUCCAACGUUAAUCGGGGCAGGGUGAGUCGACCCCUAAGGCGAG
rnacentral:rRNA from 2 species